AGAGUUUGAUCCUGGCUCAGAGUGAACGCUGGCGGCAGGCCUAAUACAUGCAAGUCGAACGGCAGCACAGCAGAGCUUGCUCUGUGGGUGGCGAGUGGCGGACGGGUGAGGAAUACGUGGGAAUCUGCCCAGUCGUGGGGGAUAACGUAGGGAACUUACGCUAAUACCGCAUGCGCCCUUCGGGGGAAAGCCGGGGACCUUCGGGCCUGGCGCGAUUGGAUGAGCCCACGUCGGAUUAGCUAGUUGGCGGGGUAAAGGCCCACCAAGGCGACGAUCCGUAGCUGGGUCUGAGAGGAUGAUCUGCCACACUGGAACUGAGACACGGUCCAGACUCCUACGGGAGGCAGCAGUAGGGAAUAUUGGACAAUGGGCGCAAGCCUGAUCCAGCCAUGCCGCGUGAGUGAAGAAGGCCCUCGGGUUGUAAAGCUCUUUUGUCCGGAAAGAAAAGCGCCGGGUUAAUACCCUGGUGUCCUGACGGUACCGGAAGAAUAAGCACCGGCUAACUUCGUG
rnacentral:rRNA from 1 species